AACGAGGGGAUUUGAGGGAAAACGAGGGGAAUUGAGGGACACGAAUGGAUUUGGGGAGGUUCUGAGGGAAAAAGAGGGGAUUUGGGGAAGUUUUGAGGGAAAACGAGGGGAUUCGAGGGAAAAUGAGGGGAUUUGAGGGAAAUGAGGAGGUUUGGGGAAGUUUUGAGGGAAAACGAGGGGAUUCGUGGGAAAAUGAGGGGGUUUGAGGGAAAACGAGGGCAUUUGAGGGAAAACGAGGGGAUUUGAGGGACACGAAAGGAUUUGAGGAGGUUCUGAGGGAAAAAGAGGGGAUUUGGGGAAGUUCUGAGGGAAAAUGAGGGGAUUUGAGGGACAUGAGGAGGUUUGGGGAAGUUUUGAGGGAAAACGAGGGGAUUUGAGGGAAAAUGAGGGGGUUUGAGGGAAAAUGAGGGGGUUUGAGGAAGUUCUGAGGGAAAAUGAGGGGAUUUGAGGGACACGAAUGGAUUUGGGGAGGUUCUGAGGAAAAAUGAGGGGAUUUGGGGAGGUUUUGAGGGAAAACGAGGGGAUUUGGAGAGGUUUUAGGAUAAAUUAGGGCAUUUGGGAAGGUUUUGGGGGAAAUCAGGAAGUUUUGAGGAGAAAUGAGGGCAUUUGUGGAGGUUUUGGGGGAAAUCCAGAAGUUUCAAGGGGCCUCAGGACCCUGCGCUCCCCAUUGGUCCGCGGUCAGUGACGUCAUCGCGGGAGGCACCAAUCAGAGCCUGGAGCUCCGGAGCCCCCCUCAGCCUGAGAAGAGCCCCCCAAAAC